UUUCCUACGGGAGGCAGCAGUGAGGAAUAUUGGUCAAUGGGCGCGAGCCUGAACCAGCCAAGUAGCGUGAAGGAUGACUGCCCUACGGGUUGUAAACUUCUUUUAUAAAGGAAUAAAGUGAGGCACGUGUGCCUUUUUGUAUGUACUUUAUGAAUAAGGAUCGGCUAAAUCCGUGCCAGCAGCGGCGGUAAUACGGAGGGUCCGAGCGUUAUACGGAUUUAUUGGGUUUAAAGGGAGCGUAGAUGGGUUGUU
rnacentral:rRNA from 1 species